rnacentral:rRNA from 1 species
UACGUAGGUGACAAGCGUUGUCCGGAUUUACUGGGCGUAAAGAGCGCGCAGUCGGUCGUUCAAGUCGCGUGUGAAAGCCCCCGGCUCAACUGGGGAGGGUCACGCGAUACUGAUCGACUCGAAGGCAGGAGAGGGUAGUGGAAUUCCCGGUGUAGUGGUGAAAUGCGUAGAUAUCUGGAGGAACACCGGUGGCGAAGGCGGCAUCCUGGACCAAUAUUGACGCUGAGGAGCGAAAGCCAGGGGAGCAAACGGG